UGUAAGCGUAUACCAAAGUUGUUGCAGUUAAAACGCUCGUAGUCGGAAUUUGGCAGUUCCGGAUGUGUGCACGUCGUGUGCGCACUUCGCGGGGAUUGCUUUUGUGGUCUUGCGUAGGAUGAGGCACUUUUAUUAGUGAACGUCCUCACGCAACCACUUUUUACUGUGAGAAAAUCAGAGUGCUCAAAGCAGGCAUUUGCCGUGAAUGUAUUAGCAUGGAAUAAUAGAAUAGGACUUGGUUCUAUUUUGUUGGUUUGUUGGGACUGAGUAAUGAUUAAGAGGGACAGUUGGGGGCAUUUGUAUUUCGGUGCUAGAGGUGAAAUUCUUAGAUCGCCGAAAGACAAACUGCUGCGAAAGCGUCUGCCAAGGAUGUUUUCAUUGA
rnacentral:rRNA from 1 species